rfam:Arabidopsis thaliana chromosome 2, complete sequence.
GUCUUAAGAGUCUCAAGAAGCGUACAAGGAGAUGAGGAGUGAAUCACCAAAACAAGUGGUUUUGGUUUGUGAAUCACCAAAACAAGUGGUUUUGGUUUGUGAAUCAGUAUGGUUUACCCAAAACACUUGUUUGGUGUGUUUACUUCUGAUCUCUUCGUACUCUUCUUGCGAUUCUAUGAC